GAAGACGGAGACCACCGCCGCCCAGAAGGCGUGAAGGCGUGAGGUCGUGAAGGCAUGAAGGCGCGUGAAGGCGUGAAGGCUUGAAGGCGCGUGAUGUCGUGCGAUGGCGCGUGAUGACAUGAAGGCGUGAGGCCUCACCUGCAAGCGUACGGUAGUGUGGAGUGGGCGGGGAUCAGGAGAGCAGGGCGUGUGUGUUGUUUUGUGGCUUGUGUGUCUUAUGGUCAUUGCACGGGCAUGUGCACUGCAUAGGGCAAUGCAUGGGUGUGACCAAGGCCUUUGCUGUGCAUCUUUUUGUGUGGGGGUGGUGCGGCAUGGAUGUGAGCGCGGGGUGGUUCUGGUUGGAGAAGAGAAGCGAGGGAUCGGAUUAUCGAUCAUGCUGCUGGGGCAUAUGCCCUCCACGGAUUCGGGUUGCGCUUCAUGACUGACUCGCUGCUGCUGAUCAAAGGGGUUCUCACCGGGCGAGGUUGACGCGCGUUGACGCGUGUUGACGCGUGUUGACAUGUUGCGGCGGAGGUUCAGGUAUGCACCGGUUUUGACGCAACUGGAAUUAUGUGCUCAGUUAGGGGAGGUGAGCGGUGCCCACAUUAUGGUAAGUAAGAGCGUG
rnacentral:lncRNA from 1 species